rnacentral:snRNA from 1 species
AUACUUACCUGAGGCCGGGGCCUCGUUAGUCACCCGGGACAAGCCCCCAGAAUGAGACGUGGGCAUUGCACUGCGCUCGCGUUGACCCCUGCCACUGCCCCUAACUGGGACAGAUGGGGCAUGAAAAUUGCUCAAAUCUGGUUCAGC